rnacentral:lncRNA from 10 species
UCAGCUUUCAGCGUUGAUCUCACCUCCUCGAAGAUGACACAUCUGAUCCCUCUGUCUAAACUGCUUUCCCUGGUGAGCUCCUUGUGUCAACAUGGAAAGUACCACCAAUGUGAUGGACUGCACAAGGCAGUGGAUGGGGCACUUUUAAAAGUCUGUGCUAAUCAGGAAAAAAUCUCAUUAAGCCUUGAACAUAUUAUGAUGAAUAAAAAUGUUAAGGGACAUCAUGAAGCUCAUUCUAGCCACAACUCUUCAAACUGCACCAUGGAUCAUUUUUGAAAGAUAACAUCUUUAACAUUAAGAAAUCUCAAGUUUUCCAUUUGAGAAAUCUUCUGGAUUCUGCAUUCCAGUGGUUCCACUGAAGCCAGUAGGGCUGAAUACCCCAUGUAGGAACAGACUCAGCACAAGAAUGUAGGUUCUACAUUCUUAUCAUUUCAUUCCCCAUGCCCUAACCAAUCAGUGAUCCCAAUUCCUCAGCCCACUAUUCUCCAAAAUUUCCUUAAAUAUGCCCAUCCAAAACCCCUCAGGGAAGCAGAUUUGAGGUUCCCUUCAGUUCCCUUCUUUGGUUGCCCUAUGAUUAUUAAACUAUUUCUCUAC